GAGACACUGCCCAGACUCCUACGGGGGGCUGCAGUAACGAAUCUUCCGCAAUGCACGAAAGUGUGACGGAGCGACGCCGCGUGUGGGACGAAGUCCUUCGGGAUGUAAACCACUGUCAGGGGUUAGAAAGUUCUGAUCAACCCCAGAGGAAGGCACGGCUAACUCUGUGCCAGCAGCCGCGGUAAGACAGAGGUGCCAAGCGUUAGGCGGAAUCACUGGGCUUAAAGCGUGUGUAGGUGGACCUGUAAGUACCUUGUGAAAUCCCACGGCUUAACCGUGGAACUGCUCGGUAUACUGCGGGUCUUGAGGUGCCUAGGGGCGAGCGGAACAAAUGGUGGAGCGGUGAAAUGCGUAGAUAUCAUUUGGAACGCCAAUGGUGAAAACAACUCGCUGGGGGUAUCCUGACACUGAGACACGAAAGCCAGGGGAGCAAACGGGAUUAGAUACCCCGGUAGUCCUGGCUGUAAACGAUGUCGACUAGAUCGCAGUGGCUCUGACGCUAUUACGGUCGAAGCAAAAGUGCUAAGUCGACCGCCUGGGAAGUACGGUCGCAAGGCUAAAACUCAAAGGAAUUGACGGGGGCUCACACAAGCGGUGGAGCAUGUGGCUCAAUUCGAAGCAACGCGAAGAACCUUAUCCUGGACUUGACAUGGUGGAAGUAAGAAGCGGAAACGUUUAUGACCGGUAUCCAAUCCGGAACCAUCACAGGUGCCGCAUGGCUGUCGUCAGCUCGUGCUGUGAAGUGUCGGGUUAAGUCCCAUAACGAGCGAAACCCCUAUCGUUAGUUGCCAUCAGGUAAAGCUGGGCACUCUAACGAGACUGCCGGUGUUAAACCGGAGGAAGGCGGGGAUGACGUCAAGUCCUCAU
rnacentral:rRNA from 1 species